GCUUCCUUUCUGGGAUUUUUAUGGUGGUCCCACCUCCUGUUUUGUCCGAGUUGCAGUCACCUUUGCUGGAGAUCCUGGAGCCGGAGUGUGUAAAGCUUCUGAGAUUCUAUUUGUCUGAGCAGUUUCUCUGGCAAGACCAUGCAGCUCUGUGUGUCAGACCAAAGGCCCUGGUGAAAUGGGUUCAUGAGAAAAUCUCCUGACCUGAGGGAUAAAAAGAUCCAUGGGAGAAGUGUGGUUUCACAGGGUCACACAUUCACUCACCACUUCCCUGGACAGGGUAGAUUCCCUUCGCUCUGUGUCACUUCUAGGUGGGCAGUUGCCAUGCCCUGCUCUUCUCCAUUCUGCAUGGGUUGAGUUGUUUCCUUCAUUAUUCCCAGUGCAAAUACCUGGGUGUUUCAGCUGAAGGUGUUGUAUUUACUCUCCUCCUUUGUUCCUUUCCAUGAGAGCCACACACCAUAUUACUUCUAGUCAGCCAUCCUGGCACCCUUUUCUGCUACAAUAUUUCAGUAGAUGGUUUUUAUCCUGUAG
rnacentral:lncRNA from 10 species